UGUCUCAGCUACAGUGAUAUGCUGGCAUUCACCCUGACUGCCUUCCUAGAGCUCAUGGACCAUGGCAUUGUCUCCUGGGACAUGGUUUCAAUCACCUUUAUUAAGCAGAUUGCAGGGUAUGUGAGCGAGCCCACGGUGGAUGUUUCAGUCCUUCAGAGGUCCCUGGCCAUCCUGGAGAGCAUAGUCCACACCAGAAGAUACCAGAGUCUGUACCAGAAGAUAGCUGAGGAAAUCACCAUGGGACAGCUCAUCUCACACUUCCAGAUGAAUGAAAAAAAUUACACCUUUAGAAAAAGAGUUGUUAGAAAAAAGCCUUGGCUGCAUGUAGGGGAAGUGACAGCACAGAAGAGACCAGAGAAGAGCCUCCUGGAGGAGAGCCUACGCUUUGACCAUGCUGUCCGGAUGGCACCUGUGAUUACAGAGGAAACACCUUUCAACUGGAAGAUAUCAUUAAGCAGAGGAUAAGAGAUCAG
ensembl:lncRNA novel transcript